rfam:Gossypium raimondii chromosome 2, whole genome shotgun sequence.
GACCUGGAUAUGGGUAGUCUAUCCAUGACUAGGAUGAAGCUUGGGUGAAAUUAAGUUGAGGUCUGAACCGAUUAAUAUUGAAGAAUCAGCGGAUGAAUUGUGGUUAAAGGUGAAAUGCCAUUCGAACUCAGAGCUAGCUGG